GGCGUUAGUGCAAAAAACCUUAGUGCAACGGUUAGCAUACGCUCCCGGAAAGAGUGAGAUCUGGGUUCGAAUCCCGGCUGACCCA